UGGGGAAUUUUGGACAAUGGGCGAAAGCCUGAUCCAGCAAUGCCGCGUGUGUGAAGAAGGCCUUCGGGUUGUAAAGCACUUUUGUCCGGAAAGAAAUCCUUGGCUCUAAUACAGUCGGGGGAUGACGGUGCCGGAAGAAUAAGCACCGGCUAACUACGUGCCAGCAGCCGCGGUAAUACGUAGGGUGCAAGCGUUAAUCGGAAUUACUGGGCGUAAAGCGUGCGCAGGCGGUUUGCUAAGACCGAUGUGAAAUCCCCGGGCUCAACCUGGGAACUGCAUUGGUGACUGGCAGGCUAGAGUAUGGCAGAGGGGGGUAGAAUUCCACGUGUAGCAGUGAAAUGCGUAGAGAUGUGGAGGAAUACCGAUGGCGAAGGCAGCCCCCUGGGCCAAUACUGACGCUCAUGCACGAAAGCGUGGGGAGCAAACAGGAUUAGAUACCCUGGUAGUCCACGCCCUAAACGAUGUCAACUAGUUGUUGGGGAUUCAUUUCCUUAGUAACGUAGCUAACGCGUGAAGUUGACCGCCUGGGGAGUACGGUCGCAAGAUUAAAACUCAAAGGAAUUGACGGGGUCAUAGCUGUUUCCUG
rnacentral:rRNA from 1 species